UCCUGACUGACCGAUAGUGAACCAGUACCGUGAGGGAAAGGCGAAAAGAACCCCGGCGAGGGGAGUGAAAAAGAACCUGAAACCGUGUACGUACAAGCAGUGGGAGCACGCUUAGGCGUGUGACUGCGUACCUUUUGUAUAAUGGGUCAGCGACUUAUAUUCUGUAGCAAGGUUAACCGAAUAGGGGAGCCGAAGGGAAACCGAGUCUUAACUGGGCGUUAAGUUGCAGGGUAUAGACCCGAAACCCGGUGAUCUAGCCAUGGGCAGGUUGAAGGUUGGGUAACACUAACUGGAGGACCGAACCGACUAAUGUUGAAAAAUUAGCGGAUGACUUGUGGCUGGGGGUGAAAGGCCAAUCAAACCGGGAGAUAGCUGGUUCUCCCCGAAAGCUAUUUAGGUAGCGCCUCGUGAAUUCAUCUCCGGGGGUAGAGCACUGUUUCGGCAAGGGGGUCAUCCCGACUUACCAACCCGAUGCAAACUGCGAAUACCGGAGAAUGUUAUCACGGGAGACACACGGCGGGUGCUAACGUCCGUCGUGAAGAGGGAAACAACCCAGACCGCCAGCUAAGGUCCCAAAGUCAUGGUUAAGUGGGAAACGAUGUGGGAAGGCCCAGACAGCCAGGAUGUUGGCUUAGAAGCAGCCAUCAUUUAAAGAAAGCGUAAUAGCUCACUGGUCGAGUCGGCCUGCGCGGAAGAUGUAACGGGGCUAAACCAUGCACCGAAGCUGCGGCAGCGACGCUUAUGCGUUGUUGGGUAGGGGAGCGUUCUGUAAGCCUGCGAAGGUGUGCUGUGAGGCAUGCUGGAGGUAUCAGAAGUGCGAAUGCUGACAUAAGUAACGAUAAAGCGGGUGAAAAGCCCGCUCGCCGGAAGACCAAGGGUUCCUGUCCAACGUUAAUCGGGGCAGGGUGAGUCGACCCCUAAGGCGAGGCCGAAAGGCGUAGUCGAUGGGAAACAGGUUAAUAUUCCUGUACUUGGUGUUACUGCGAAGGGGGGACGGAGAAGGCUAUGUUGGCCGGGCGACGGUUGUCCCGGUUUAAGCGUGUAGGCUGGUUUUCCAGGCAAAUCCGGAAAAUCAAGGCUGAGGCGUGAUGACGAGGCACUACGGUGCUGAAGCAACAAAUGCCCUGCUUCCAGGAAAAGCCUCUAAGCAUCAGGUAACAUCAAAUCGUACCCCAAACCGACACAGGUGGUCAGGUAGAGAAUACCAAGGCGCUUGAGAGAACUCGGGUGAAGGAACUAGGCAAAAUGGUGCCGUAACUUCGGGAGAAGGCACGCUGAUAUGUAGGUGAAGUCCCUUGCGGAUGGAGCUGAAAUCAGUCGAAGAUACCAGCUGGCUGCAACUGUUUAUUAAAAACACAGCACUGUGCAAACACGAAAGUGGACGUAUACGGUGUGACGCCUGCCCGGUGCCGGAAGGUUAAUUGAUGGGGUCAGCGCAAGCGAAGCUCUUGAUCGAAGCCCCGGUAAACGGCGGCCGUAACUAUAACGGUCCUAAGGUAGCGAAAUUCCUUGUCGGGUAAGUUCCGACCUGCACGAAUGGCGUAAUGAUGGCCAGGCUGUCUCCACCCGAGACUCAGUGAAAUUGAACUCGCUGUGAAGAUGCAGUGUACCCGCGGCAAGACGGAAAGACCCCGUGAACCUUUACUAUAGCUUGACACUGAACAUUGAGCCUUGAUGUGUAGGAUAGGUGGGAGGCUUUGAAGUGUGGACGCCAGUCUGCAUGGAGCCGGCCUUGAAAUACCACCCUUUAAUGUUUGAUGUUCUAACGUGGACCCGUGAUCCGGGUUGCGGACAGUGUCUGGUGGGUAGUUUGACUGGGGCGGUCUCCUCCUAAAGAGUAACGGAGGAGCACGAAGGUUGGCUAAUCCUGGUCGGACAUCAGGAGGUUAGUGCAAUGGCAUAAGCCAGCUUGACUGCGAGCGUGACGGCGCGAGCAGGUGCGAAAGCAGGUCAUAGUGAUCCGGUGGUUCUG
rnacentral:rRNA from 1 species